CUCCCUGACAGGGCUACCCGUCAACCAGCCCAGGCAAUUCCCUACUUCAACAUGGAAUGCUUCAGUUCCAGAGCUGAGUACCUCUUCAAAAGCACUGAAUCAUGCUUGGAGGAUUUUAAGAGUGGCUUGGUUGCUGCAGUAUGGAUGAAACUCUAGGGCUGUGCAAAUCUUUGAGUCUCAGGGCAGUUGAAAUGGCAGUAUAGAGCUCCCCAGUAUGGACUGACUUGAGAAAAUGAAGACAAACCACAGUAGCUACAAUGAUAAUAAAAGGACCAGUCAAUGAAGAGAAGAAGAUUCCUUCAGUGAGCAGUCAAGCACAGGUUUGAGCUCUGGUGAAAUCUCUCCUUUCACUGUUGAUGUGGACAUGGGGAGGCAAGCCUAAUGCGAGCCUUUGUGACCACCUCAGAAGGCAUCAAACUCACUUUAACAAGUAACCAUUGUUUUUAUUAAAGCUGGUUGGAAUUCCUCAUAAUUAUAGGAGGCAUGUGUUUGACCAAGUAUCUGAGAAACAGAAGGCAUUAGAUCUUACAAAUGGA